rnacentral:tRNA from 1 species
AUCUUUUUAGUAUAAUUAAUAUAAGCGACUUCCAAUCACUUGAUCUUAGUUUAAACCUAAGAAAAGAUA